rnacentral:rRNA from 1 species
GACGAACGCUGGCGGCGUGCUUAACACAUGCGAGUCGAACGGAAAGGCUCCAGCUUGCUGGAGUACUCGAGUGGCGAACGGGUGAGUAACACGUGGGUGAUCUGCCCUGCACUUCGGGAUAAGCCUGGGAAACUGGGUCUAAUACCGGAUAGGACCGCACUUUGGUGUGUGUGGUGGAAAGGUUUUUCUGGUGUGGGAUGAGCUCGCGGCCUAUCAGUUUGUUGGUGGGGUAAUGGCCUACCAAGACGGCGACGGGUAGCCGGCCUGAGAGGGUGGACGGCGAAAUUGGAACUGGGAAAGGGCCAGGACCCCAAGGGGAGGCAGCGGGGGGGAGUAUUGAACAAUGGGGGGAAGCCGGAGGCAGGGAGGCGGGGUGGGGGUUGAGGGCAUCGGGGUUGGAAACCCCUUCGGGUAGGACGAAGCGGUUUGUGACGGUACCUGGAGAAGAAGCACCGGCUAACUACGUG